UGUUAUUGUCUGUCAAAUUAGAUUUAUACGUUUAUUUUUUGUAUAUACACCUGAAUCGAUGUUUUACUUGGAUAGGAAUGUAGUCAAUGUACAGUUGUUAGUGUCUUGAUUGCCAGAUUAGGUUUUUCUUGCUGAGGAUAGGAAUGUUUUUGUUGUUGAAGCCUAGCUAGAAGGUUUCUGUAAUGUACGAUUGUCAGUGUAUGAUUCCCAGGUUUUGAUGUCUUUUCGCAACUGUGAUGUUGGCAUUCACUUGCCGAUUGAGUUUGAACUGUGUUAGAACCCAAAACAAAUUGUCAGGCCCCAAAGAGCAAUUGGUCCAACAAUUGUCACAUGGACCCAAGGUCUGGAAGGUUUACACUAGGAGCUGGGGUGCUAUGCUGGUGGAGAGAGAAAGGAGAGUAACAGUUUCGGGGGUUUUCUGUUAUCAAAUAAGAAGGUGGGUGUGUGGAAUCAUUGUGUUAGUUAUAGAUGGAGAGCAGUAGCUCUCUAUAGGAGUCUCGCGUUGUGGCGGUAGGAAUAUUAUUUUCUACUGUAAUUUCGUCUUUUCAUGGAUAAUGCAUACACUCUAGCUCUUUGUUGUUUUUUUUUU